AAACAAAAACGUUAUAUUAUGAAAAGUAAAAACAGUGUCUAUUUCUUGUUUCAUUUUGGGGUUGUUCGGUUCUUCAUCUGACCUUCAAGGUACUUAUACUAUACUACACUCUAUCUAGUUUAUAGGCUUAAAGAAUAUCUGGUGUUUUGCAUCACACAGCAAGGUUUUAUACUCUUGAUUUCUGGUACUACUUCAAAACAUAUUCUUAUUUGUUUGUACCUACAUUGGAUUUGUUAAUAUUUAUGGCAAGUUUCUUCGGGUGGAUUAGAAAAAAUUGACUGUCCUGUUAUGCAGUCCAAAACAUCUAAUUCUGCACACCAAAUAGCACUUAUUGAGUUAUUCAUAAAUUUUGCGAAAUUUGAAUUUGAUAUACUAACAUUAUCUUUUAGGGGUUGAAAAUAUUAUUUUGGGUGGAGCACUAGUGCAUUCAAACAUUUCUUGUUGAUCCCGUUUUGUUGAAAUUUAAGAUGUUUCAAGGAAGCAUUUUGCUUGCAUUGAGCAUUUCAUGCAAGGAAUCAAAGAAAAUGCAGGCAAAGAAAUUGAAUUUGAAGCCUGGAUACUUUACAACUACUGCCCAGGAUUUGUAGCAACGGUCUCUGUGAUGUAUCAGAAGAGUUCCCCUUCGAACUUCAAUUUUUCGGUUGUCAUGUUUGAUAUGGAGGAUUAAAUCUUGUUAUUCAUUGUGUUGUCGAGUUGUAUCCAGUACUAUGUAACAAAUAUGUAUUUGAUGUUAUUCUGAACAAGUUUGUUUUAUAAUGUGAUCAUAUGGUGCAAACUAAUUUGUUUUUCUCUUUUAAAAGAUGAAAUCAUGAUCAACAUCAAGACAUUUUAUAAGAAAUGUAAUUUUUCUUUGUUAUGAUUUCCAUGAAGGA
rnacentral:lncRNA from 1 species